rnacentral:lncRNA from 1 species
CUCAGUGAUACAUACAUACGUACAGAGAGUUAUUUUCCUUCACUUACAUUUUCUUUUCCAGUGAUGGAUUAAGCAUGUGCAUUUAUGUGUCAAAAUAUGUACCUCUAGUUCUGUAAAGGAUGCUUCGGAAGUGAUGGAUUGAGGUGCACACAUAAUGACCUGUUCCAGUCAGAAACUGAGAGCCUCAGAAGGAGUUGCCAACCAGAUCUAUAGAAUGAGACAAGGGAAUGACUGGAAUAGAUUUACUUCUGCCCUUCAGCAGCAAGGAAACUCACUACCAAGAGAGCAGAUGAGCAUAAGCCUUCCCUGCCAGAUGGUUACCUGCCCAGUGCCUCCACCAGCAUGUUCAAACCACACCAGCUUCAUCUGCGUUCUUUACCUGGGUAUGAUGGUAGGUAGGCCAUAUUUAUGAUCAUUCCUGAAAGAGCAUUUCUGAGCUGAAGAGAUUUUUGAAGAACUCUGUGAAGACUCCACUUUGUAUUAAUAGUACUGUACAUGCAGAGAUUGUGCUUUGUGGUAUUUUCACUGAUUUUUUUAUUAGGAAGAUGCCAGGACUUACUAAUUACUGUCCUUUCUUGAAUCUGUUGGCACUUUAUAUAUACAGUGUCACAGACUGAAGGCUAUCAAGUCAGAUAAGUUCUGUCCUGUUCUGCCUGCCUUAAUGCCUUUGUUGUUGUUGUUAUUAUUAUUAUUAUUAUUAUUAUUAUUAUUAUUAUUAUUUUACUGCUGGUCAUGUUAUUCUUCAUCACUGCUUAUCAUCUUAUAUAACAGCUGUAUUGCUCUGGCUGGCAGAAUAGAGGGCCUCAUGUUCCUAUGUGCCAUUUAUCUCUGCUGAUAUUUUGUGAGUGAUGAAAGCCACCAUAAAUGUGUAUUUGUUUUCUUUGUAUGAUGAAUCCCUGCUUCUCCACAAAAGUCUUGUGCUCAUGGUGUUCACUAUUUAACAAAGUGAGUCAGGAUACAGUUAACAGCUGUGUGACUGACUGCUUGCUAGAGUAGAUAAGUAAAUACUGAUCCUUCAAUUUUCUACUUUCUCUGCCCUGAUAUUCUUAUACUGCAAUCUCCUGGCGCUUCUAGGAACAUUAUUGAUGAGGGAACACUUCAAUUCCUUUCAAAAGCAGUGCAUAUAAUUGAGAGUACAGAAUCAAGAGCUGUGGGUUUUUAGAGUUUAUAAAAAGUGUAGGGAUUGAUUAAAAACAGAUUCUGUUCAGGUCUAUGUGGAUGUUGCAAAAUAAAGAGAAAAAUCACAGAGUUGCUGAGAAUCCCAGGUACUUCUAGAAAUGAAAAAUAGAGAAGAAGGUCAAAAUGGAUGAACGUAGUUGAAAAGAUUAACCUCCCUCAGACACCCCAGCCCACCCACCAGAGAACACAGCCGUUUUGGGCUUUGCAAGGACCACAUGCAGCAACUGCAGUGAGCCUGUUCUCCUUUCAGGCAAGCCCUGAAAUUCCAGGGCUUGAUGAACAGUAUUAUGAAUGUAGCUCUACUGAGAGACAGUAAAGAACACGUCUCACUGAAGAUGUGGAAUAGCACACUGAAUCAACAAAUAGGCUUCUGACUAACUGGAAGCAGUGGGGCAGAUUCUCAUUUGUUGCUCACUUAAAUAAAUCCAUGAGUAUCAAGAAUGAAGUUGUGUUUCCCAGUGGUACUGCUUCAUGAAAGGGUAUUCUAUAUCCCAAGCGUUGGGGACAUUUUGGGGGAAUGUACCUUUUUCGCAAAGCAUUUUCCAAGUUCUGGUGGCUCCAGGAUUUGUGAGAGCUCAUAUUUAUGAGUCAGUUCUCACUGCUGGCCAUCAUAAAUUAAAAAAAUAUCACAACAUCAGUUUUUGUUUCCUGGACCAACUGUGUUGUAUUGGUCUAAGUAAUAACAUUCUUUAUUCUUAAGCUAAGAGCAUUUUGUUUAUGUAUUCUCUCCGCAAGGGAAAAUAUACUUCUGCUAUCGCUGCAAAGCACAAGGGACAGUUAAAUCUAAUAAGUUAAUCUAGACUCCUAGAAACAAAAUUAAAUUUUCAAAUAAAGGCAAACUGACAGCUAAGGCAUAAAUCUUUUAUUUAAAGUAGAAAAUAAGCCCAUUCAAAUGCAAUCAGAGAAGACAGAUGUAGGUAAAAACAAGUAGAGAUAGGAUAUAUGGUGCAUAAAUUUGCUGUGUCUGUAUGAUAGAUCAAACAGAGUGACCUUAAAAAUGUUCCUAAAACAUCAGCUAAAAUAUGAAAUUUGCAUAUAUUUAAAUACUGCUUGUUAAUGGAAGAUGGACUAGAAAGGAUGUUAACACUGAAAGUAAAAUACAGCACAGGUGUAAAGUGUGCAACAGAAAGGUCACAUUAGCCAUCAAAGUGCCUGAAAUGUAAAUAUUUACUAGCUUGGAGCUGGCAGCAGGUUCUAUAAAUAAGAAAUAUUACUUUCCACUGUUUAAUAUAUCUUCUCUGGUAAAAUAUUUAUCUGAAAAAAAAUCUUGAUUCAGCAACAUUUAUAAUUAACUAAAUGUUUAACAUCAUACAUCCUCUUAGAUCCAAAUUACCUUAAUGGGACUACUCAGAGGUAAGAGAGGCACACCUCUCUGAAAGAUGUUAUCAAGAUCACAGAUAAGGUUACUAUGAAAUUUUGCCUGCCUUUGGAUUGGUGAAAGGAGGUGUUUAUACUCAGAUUUCUCAAGUAUUUUUCUUUCCUUCUGGGUGUAAAUCCACAGUAGAUUGUUGGGUUUUCUUAGGUGUGGUAUCAGAUUGCUCCUUGGAAGGUGGCAUCUAUAGCCUAUUCAGGAGAGAGAACAUAACUUGCUGCCUGAGGUUUCUUGAUUCCUGCUCUUUCAUUCUCUCCUGGAUACCUAUUCCUCUGUCACCCCAUCAUCACAGCAGGACAUAAGCCAUGCUGCUUCCCAGUAUAGGAUGUGUUUUGAUCCAGUCCUCACAGGUGUUUGCUGAAAGAAUCUGUCUGUUUUGAUCAUAUUCUCAGAAUGGGAAUAUCUCCAACUAUGUAGGCAACAGCACGGGUGCCUCUCAUUCAGCUCUGGUCUCCUUAUAGAGUUUGAGACUGUCUGGUCCAUCUGGUCGUCCCUAGAAGUACAUCAUAAUUAUCUCCUGGUUCUUAGUAAAUCUGGGUUUUCUAGAGAUUUCCACUGUAAUUGGAUCAGUCAUUAAUGUAGCCCAGAUUUCUCAUAGUAUUCUGCUGAGAUUACAUCUGUUCCAAUACCGUGACCCAGUUAGAGCCCAAUAUCUUUGUGAAUAUGAAAAAGAAAAUUGGCUAGUAGAAUGUUGCAUGUAUUUUGACAUAUCAAUGCAGUUGAAGAAAUGCAGUUAAUUCUGAUAGUAUCAUCUAGCCUCAGAGAAUAGUGUGUGGAUGUGCAAAUGACUCUAGCUCUCUAAAUGUGGACGUAGUUACCAAUAGGUGUAGGGGGAUGUAUCCUUUCAAUUUGCCUGUUUGAUGUUUUGUUCUGUUGUUUUGUUAGCUUGUUAAUGCUCUUUUCUGUGGGCUUUGUGAAAAAUUUACUUGUAAAGUGAUAGAAUUCUGAAAGAUCUUUUUUGUAUUCACUUCUAUGAAGAGUGUAAGUUCUUUCGGUCAUUGAUUAGUGACAAAUGCCAUCUAUGGAGAAAUUCUCUUAAUCUUUGGGAUGUCUCUUUUGAAGGUCACUUCCAUUUAUUAAAAGAUUGCAACUGUACACUUGAAUAUUUCAUGAAUUGUCGGUAUUGUUUCUGGCUUUUGCAAUACUUCUCUAUAGGAAAAAAAAAAAAAACCACAAAGGUCAGAUAACAGAUUUUUAAAAAGUUAUCCAGAAAGCUACAUACUGACCUAAUAAUAUGUUGACAUAGGUCAAAUUGGAUUGUUUCUGUCACAUCUGUAUUGCAUAACACCAGAUAAAUUGAGGCGUGAGUUGAUGUAUAUGGUGCAAUAUAGGAAUACGGCUUUCACACUGACAGUCAGCUACUUGUGGUUGGUAGAGUUGUGUGUGUAGACCUCUGAGAACAUCUACAAACACAUAAGGUGAAAAUACAAAAAUAAACAAUAGCAAAUAGCCAGAGGGGCUUGCAAUGAAUUUGUCUAGAGAAGAUUAAGCACUUGAUUCCCUUGAAUGUGUGGCGUGCUACAGGUCUGGAGUCACUUUUCUUUGCUCUCAAUUGCUGAGGAGUGUCAUGGUCUGAAGAAGGUGGAAUUUGGUGCAUAAUAAAAAACAUAAAUCUCUCACUGUUCCUUGCUGAGAGCUCCUCCUGCACAAGGCAGGGGUCUGUCAUUCAAUAGCAAAGUUCCUAGACUCAGUCUUCACUGAUGGUCUGUGUUUAGCUGUGUUAGGUUUGCAGUCUCACCCUGCGGGGAAUAGAAUGUUGAAGAGAAGGUCCUUCACACUGAGGGAUUACUAAAUCCAGGUCAUCUACAAAAGAUUUGGUCUGCAAUAGAGACUUUUCUAUAUUUUGUUAUAAUAAAACAUGCCUUGGCAGGAGACGUUUUAGAAAUACUAUUUUUAAGAACACAACAUUAGAGUAAAAUACUAAAUUUGCCCUGUACUCCCACCACUCUGGAAGUUGAACUCUGCUGCCAGGAGUCUAUAAACUUCAUUCACAUGCUUUUUUCUUUAAACACUGACUUGGAACAUACGGCUGCUUUUUAGGCUGGUUGGAGUUAUACAAUCAUUAGAACUUGCUUAUUUGGGGCAAUGAGGCUCCUUUGUUUGCAGAAGGCCUGAUCAAAAAAAGAUGAGCUGUUCCAGCAUGGUCUUUCUAUAGAUUAGCCACAGUAGAGUACAUGUAUAGGAGCAGCCAAAAUACAUGUAGACAAUUAGCUUUUCUACCAGAGACUAGUUUUGUUAACAUUCCCUUGAUUUGACAGCUGGAAUAGAUGAAUGUCAUUGCUGACCUUUUCAAUUUUACAGCUUCUUCACUUUCAUAAUUCUAACUCCUGCAGCUGCAGCAUGGAAAUGAACUUUAAUAAUGUUCCCCAAACUCUUGAAAAUGCAUUAGUUACAGUUAAAUUUUGUAAUACUCUAAACAAUAAGGAUCUUUUAUAUCACUGCUUCUUAAACUACGAAGUAAUUAUUAGCAAUUAAAAGAGCUGGACAUUUCCCGACUGCUUUCAUGGAGCAGAUCUGAACAAUCAGACAUUAGGUAUCCACUUUUCAUUAUGAUUUAUGAUGACUGAAAAAAUUAUUCUGCCCCGAGUUUUAAUUAUUGCUGGAAGAUAUUCUCUGGGUUCUUCUAUUAAUGUCUUUCAUUUACUUUUAGAGGGUCAAAUGCUGUUCACUUUAUUGAUAUGAAUAAUUCCACUGGAGCUAAUAAAAGUAAACAGAGAGCAGAAAAUAGUUAUACAGUCUAAAUUCAAGAGGUGCAAUUGUUUGACAUGGUGUGACAAUGUAAUGUUGUUUGAAAUGGGACUCUGCUGUUUUUAACUUAGUUAAUUAUACACUAACAUAAACAUAGAUUGUGCCCAAAUUCAAGGUAAAGAAAGGAAAAGGUUAGAGGGAAUAAUACAGCCACUGUAGAGAAUGUGAGGCUAAAUAACUUGUAUUUAAAAGUAUUAUCACAGGUCUUUUAGUCAGAUAUGUAAUGUGAUGACUAGUCCAGUUUUAACUAUCCAGAUUUAAAGCUAAAGGAUUUAAAAAUUGGGAAGCAAGGUGCAAUUGUGUAACAUAUUGAGGCCAACCUUAGAAACUGCUGGAAUCCAAAUUGUUGGUGAUGUUACUUGAUGGGCUCUAGGGUAAACUUGAGCCUAUUAGUGACUGUGUCUGCAGGACUUGUGGAGAAGCUCCCCAGUAAAAACCUCCUGCCAGACAGCCUGAUCCAAGGGGAAUCCUGGUAAAGUUCACAGUGUAUUAACCACUUUUUAAUAUAUUCUUAUAGUCCUUUUGAAAGGCUUAUUUCAAAGCUCUCGUGUAGCUAAUGGUUUGAGCCUCUUCUGAGAGUUCAAAUAUCCUAAUGAGAUUAACUCAUUAAAUAACUGCCCAUCACUUAGUUGCUGAUACUCUGGUUCAUUUGUUGCACUGGGAAGAGAGUGUAGCCCGUGCAAAUGUAGACUAUUUCUCUUUGAAUGUUUUUAAAUUAUUACAUUUUCCAUCCCAGUAUCCUUUUCUAUCAUGUAAGUAGAUUGGACUGUGCAGUAACGGUCUUUCUCCCUCCAGGCUGCUUGGGCAAAGGUGACAGGUUUUGCCACCAUGAUGUUAUCUCCUUAUUUAGGAUUGAGACUUAAGCCUCCCUGUGACUAAUUAAGUAGUUGUCUCUCAGGGAUGUACUUGUCAGUGCUCACACAACCAGAAUGGCACAGACUUCUUCCACAGAACCAGAGAAGGUAAAAAAUAAAAUAACAUCACCUUGAAUUUUACAAAUUAACCAAAAACAAUAAGGGAAGGGAAAACAGUAAGGGACGUGAAUAAUAAUAAAAAGCAAAAACCACGGCAGGUAACACAGGCUACUGCUAAACUUGCAUACUAGUUGUACGCAGUUGUUAUUGCUCACUUUAAGAUAGGUAGGGUGAAUCUUGUUCUUGCUACCUUGUUUGUAUACCAGUGGUCAGGGGAAGCCCAGGAGUCAGUGGUUCUUUGGAGAAGAGCCAGAAGGGAACUUGUUUUUGGAAAGGCUUGUGUGGGUAGCAGAUGAGCUUGGCACAGAACUGGUCAGCAGAACAGCCGGGGAAGAAUCUGGGCAGCGUGACCUGGCUUGGCUGCUGCACUAUGCUGGUUGCUCCAGUUUUAAGAAAUAAAUGCUGUGUCCCUGGACAAAGCCCACAGAUAAUGCCAAGGCCAGGAGAUUCCUCUGAAGAACUUGCUGGCAGCUUGAGAUUUUACCUUUAAUAGACCUGGAGAUUCCAAGCACGCUCGCUUACAGAAGUGCUACAAAGAAACAAAUGGCGGUAGCUGUGUAUAAUCAGCAAGUUCGUUCAUAGAUCUUAAGAUAUAAAACAUUAUCAGAUGUUAUGCUUUAAAGAAAUGUGAUGCAAUUUGUCUUAUGGUCUGUGCUUCUCAAGUGUUUGUCUACACUAAAUCUUUAUGGUUGUUUUUUUCAAAGAGCUCUGAUUUCUAGGAACUUGAAGGAUGCUCUUUAAAACUUGUCAGUGGCAUGAGUCUGUCCUGCUUUCCACGUUCUUCUGGUGAGCAAAGCUGGUCGAAAAUUAUGCAUUUGAAGAUACAAUGUGAAAGUCUUGACUACUGGUGGAGUGAAAAUAUAAUCAAAAUCUGCAAUUCAUUUUUUCCUGUUUCCAACCCAUUCUAUGGUUGGUUGAAAUAUUUAAAAUAAUGAAUUUUUGACAGCUAAAUUAGGAUAGAAAGUAAAGAAAAAGGGAAAUGUUGUCUUUUUGCAUGCAUUGGCUGUGUUUACCGGCCAUCUCUAGAGGGAGACCAAAUUGUUCUUAACUGGCUGCACUAGGACUCAGUAUAUGCUCAUCUCUAUGACUAAAACCAUCCAAACUACUGAACCUACUGAUGGAGACCCUUCUUAGGUUUGGGGCUUUGGUGUUUUUGUUGUUGAUUUGUGUUGCUUUUUUGUUUGUUUGUUUGUUCUUUUUUUGUUAGUUGUGUUUUUUAUUAUUUUUGAAUCAAAUAAGUCUUUUGAAAAAACAAAACAAAACAAUGCAUUAUUAACAUAGCUUUACUAUUUGCUCAGUCAAACUUUUAGACAUAUUGUUUGAUAUAGAUUACAGGACAGCCUUGACUGAGACCCUUAGUAUCCUAUACUGGAGCACACAUUACAUGCAAUUUUACUAUUUUUUUGUAUUGUAGGGUAAAUUGUUGUGCUGUAGAACUGUCCUCCACAUACUUGGAAUGUAAUAACUCCAAUGAAAAAGUGGAAAUGCCUCAAAUUCCUAACCGUUCUACUUGUUUAGGCCCAUUCAGAUGAAAUGGCAGUCAACAUCUGUCCAGAUGCAGUAGCAUUUGUAAGUGAAACAAAAUAGAGAGCAGCAAUACUUCACUGCUAAUUUUUACUGGCUGCAGUCUUCCUUCAAAGGCAGCAGAAGGAAAUGGAAAAGGAGGGAAAGUGCCGAAGUCACAUCUGUACCUAACUGUGACUAACAUUAUCUUUUAUGUUAGAUCAUUAGCAUACCCAGGAAAAAAACACUGGUGUUUGGUGCCAGCUGUCUGCUUAUUACAGCAAAGGAACUGGGAGAAGACACUGGGAAUGAAAUAAGCACUUAAAGGGAUACCGUACUUUUGCAUUAUUAAGGUCUUUAGGUAUUACCAGCAUUGCUUUGGGCAGGAGGCAUCUUGGUGUGGAGCUGGGAAGCAUGGGGUAAUGUCUUAGUACCACUCAGUUGUAACUUGCAGAACCUGCUGCCAAAGGGAGCCAAAGGCAGAUGCAACACUUUGUCAGAGUGUUCCAUGCCAGCAGUGGUUAUAAAGUGGUAUGGGCUGGUGAGGAAUGGAGAGAGGCCAUCAGUGGCUCACCUAUGGAUUGAUGAUUGCAGAAGAGACAUUUUGGCCGUCUGGGUCAGUGGACAGAGAGCCUGAUGUGCACAAAUACCUUGCUAAUUUAAGCAAAGGCAAAAAAAAAAAAAUUGAAGAGGGUAAAAGUGGUAGUAAGACUCGGGAUGUGCCCUGGCAGCGGGCAUCCCAGUAUAGCAUUUGGUUUGUUCAGUGAAGAAACUCGUUAAGCCCAAAGUUUGAUCAAUAUUUAAUGCAAGAGAUUGUGUUUUGAUGCUGGUUUAAAACAAAAUAGUGAAUGUGUACUCUUAUCUCUGUGCUUUUCACAGAUAUGAAUGAUGGCAGAUUUUAAUAUUACAUUCAAAGUUACAGAGGUAAAGAAUGUGUGCAGUAUAGGAUGCAGCCCAUGAUGUGGGAUGUGCUUGAGAAGUGCAUAAUAAUAAGAUCUUAUGUUAACAGCCUAAACCAUUGACUAUAUCUGCUUUGGUAUGAAGAACAGCACCACUGACUGAACUUACAUUCACAUUGUAGCUGAAGUCAGGAACAGAUUCACCACAUGACUGUUUUUAGCCGAGCAGCUUCUGAAUUAUGUGUCUUUAAUUGCUUCAGAUUCCUGUUAUUGAUCUCUCAUGUCAAAAUAAUUGAACUUUAUGGCCAAAUUCUGAUGCUUAUUGAGAAAUCAUAUAAUUACUUCCAACCAUCUGUGAGUCAAUAAAAGUUGAGUACAUACCACUACUCAGAUUGCUUGAUGCAAACAUUUCUCUCCAAGUAACCACAAGAUCUACAAUACAUUAAUAAAUCUAGCAAAGCACAGUUGUAGGUUGCAUAAUUGUAUCUCCUAAUACUUGUAAUAAUAUAAAUAUGUUAUGCAUUAGUAGAUAAAAUACCCCUACUUCAACCCCAACCCUGCAACACAGGGAGAGUGCUGUGCCUGCAGAGAGCCACCAGCACAGGUGCAGCACUGUGCUGACAUGCACAGCAGGAAUCAAAAUCUUUGUGGCCAAGCAAACACUACAAAGUACUGGGAACCAGCGUGUUUUAUCACACUGAGGCUGAUGGGGACAUGUCCUAGAAGUUCACACCUGUCUAGAAAAUCCUAUUCCACGUAUCUCUUUUUUUUUUUAGCUUUGCCUUUACUGGUUUGUUUACACCAAUGAACUGUCUGGAGCCUGUAUCCUUGCUCUUCUUCAAAGAGAGUGUUAGAGUAGACGUGCACAUGCAGUGUCUUCUUCAAAAACCUCAUACUUCUACCAUUUCACAAAACCCCAACAUUUUUGUUGCCUACAGGAUGGUGAAAAUUAAACAGUUCUAAUGCUUUUGAACAAGCUCCUUAAGAAGUGCCCUGAUAACCUGAAGCUUUUUUCUAGAAUGGUUUCGUGAAGAAUUUUCACACCUCAUUGCUGAUGGUAAUAGACUACAUAGUGUCACACACACACACAGCUGGCAAGAUACUUACUUGAGUGAUAAAAAAUGUUUUAUGUGAAGGUAAUGAAAGCUUUGUCUUGCCUACUUGAAUAGCUUUAGCUGCCAAUUUCUAGACCAAAUCCUAUCUGAGAAAGGACAUUAGCUUUACUGCAUCUUGUUUCCUAUGUAAUCAUUAUGCUGCUAGCACUGGUUUUAUUCACUCCUGUAUUUCUUUUAAUAUUGUUUUAGUAAUUCUCCUUCCUUAUGAGGAAGGGAGCAUUAAUCAGCCAAGGCAUUUAGCACCUAUUUACAUUAAUAUAUAGACAAUGCAGUGAUUUAGAAUUCUUUACACCUUUCUGCAGCUUUUUCACUAGAUUUCUUAAUGCCUUGAGGAUGCCUUUCCUCAUGACACUUUACAACAAACCUUUGCAAAAUGAAUAGCUUUCAUUAUGAAAUCAAUGAUAUUCCUUCUAAACUUCAGGGGCAAUGUCAAAGAAAAGCUACUCUAAUUGCUAAUGCUGAGAAGUUUUUAUGACCAAACUCUACUUUCCAGAUGUCAGAGCAAUGCAGUCAUCACCUUCUUCAGCACUUUUGCCCUCCCUUGUCACCGUGGUUCUCUUUCUCAAUAAUGUGAUUGUCAGCUAUGGCUUUUUCUAUUCUUACUUCUUUACUCUGCUUUCUGUUCUGAUUCAACCUUAAAGCUACCCUUUUCAGCAGAAACAGUCUGAAGUCUACAGUUGUGACUCUGCAUAGCAGGAACCUCUGACCACUGGCCUCUUCUGAAGCAUAAUUAUACAGGCAAAUUCUAAUUCUGAAGCAUAGGAAGUAGUUAAGAACUUGCACGUUUAUUUUAAUUCCAGAUGUAUAUUUUGACAUUUAUUUUUAGGAAGCUCAACUGUACAGACACAAAAUAGUGGCUGUGAUCAGCCCAGUAUUGGCUGGUCUGGGUUAGUGGGCAGAGUGCCUGUUAUUGCAUAUAAACAUGUUGCUAAUAUGGGGAAAAAAACAAAGAGGGUAAAGAUGGUAGUACUGCCUCUGCUACUGAUACAGCCCUUGUAGCCCUUGUUCUUACACAGCUUAAGAAAGCUACAAUACUGUAACAUGGAAAUUCUGCUUUGCAUGUCUGUAGGAAACGUAGACUCAUAGGUUUGAUCAAAGGCUUAUAAACUAAUAGGUUAGAAGUACUUGGCAUCUGUUCAUCAAAUGCAGGUAGUGUUUGGUCCAACAAAUGCAAGUCUCUCUUGGAGAGACAAGAGUUUUGUCUACUUCCAUUUUUGAAGUUAAUACUUACAUUUACCUCUGAAUUAUAAGAAAAUGCAACUGAAAUCCUAAAAAUUUGUCAGCGCUUUGAUAUUCUAUUGAUUGAAACCAGUUUAACUUGUUUCAUCCCUUUUUAGUACAGAAAUAGACAUCUGAGUCAUUAAUUUGUUUGCCCUCUUUGAGGCUGUUGAAAUGUAAAAGAGAUGAGUUAGCAGCCCUUGGCAGUGGGGGCAUUGAUGGAGAUGCUGACAGACUUUAUUUAUAGUGUGGCUGCACUACCAGGCAUUACUAUAGUACAAUUCAAUCAGGGAAGUUACUUUGAUUUCUUCAAGUAAUAGCUGUAGUUAAACAGCUUUCUAAAGCUCCUUGUAUCACCACAGUGCUUAGAUGAUUGAAUUUUUAUCAUAACAAAAGUAUCAUAGCAGUGGUUAUCCUUAAGCUCUGUUUCACCUCAGAGGCAUAGAAUUGUCUUAUCUCAUUCCCCGUCUUAACUACUUUCAAUGUACUGACAAGCACAACUGACCAAUUAAUAGAACAUUUUCUAGUCUUAUCUCAUUCGUUAUCCAUGAUGGUCUUCCAUGUUGUAAUUACUUUUCAAUUUUUCAUGACCCAAAACAGUAGAUGUACACAGUGAAUACAAAUAGCAAAUUGAUUAAAUGUAACAUGCAUUGUAGCACCGAAGAGAUUGUCAUUUGUUAUUAACGAGAGAGAUUUGUCAGGUUCUUCUGAAAAGGCUUGUGACACACAGCAAUCCAGACCGAAUAACUGCAAGACUGCAGCUGACCUUCAGCUCAUUAAUUGUAUGCAAGUAAAAUCGGGAAGACACACGAUUUUCAAGACAAUUUCAAAUUUCUCCAUUUCCCUUUUUUGGUGCCAUCUCAACAUUUUAAAGAUUAAUUUCAAAAAACACAAGUCAGGUUAUCAGGUAAUUUUGUGCUAAAUGCGGGGGGGUGGUGGGGGGGGGCAUUGUAAGGCACUGAAUUUCAAGGCCAAAGCCAUUUUGUUGGUGGUAAAACACUGAUUCUUACACAGAUGAAACUGAGGCCUUUGCCUGAGCCAUUGUGGCCAGCAGCUCAGUAGUCAGAGAGCUCGUGCAAGAAGUGCAAAAAAGUGGUGUUCAGGUGUUUCUGCCUGAUUUUAUCAACACACAAAAUAUAUGCUUUUCCUUUCUCAUCCUUACUGUGCCAGCUAGCUGUCAGUUAACAGACUGCUCCAAAGCCUUGCUGAAUUGCUCCUGAUCAAGUUGGUUCAUUUUACAUAAGUUAAGUAUCCAUUGACUAUGCACUGGGGAAAGUAUUUUGGUGUAGCAGGGAGAGUUUAUCAUUUUGAGAAAUCUCUUUCUUGCCAACACUUGACAAGAAGUUUAUUUGAAAUCCAAAAGCUUUUUGUGAAAUGAGAAGUUUUCUUCACUGUACCGAGAACGUCAUUGAAUUUGUUAAUGAACAGCAAAGGAAGGUUCAAAAAUGAAAAUGGCAAUGCAGGAAAUUAUUUCCCAUUCUUGAACCAAGGGAGGUCUUGUUCCUUUGGUUCCAUCAAAUCCGUAGCACUCCCUUUGGAUACAGAUAGUCUUUGUUACAGUUGAAUAGCUCCAACAGCAUCAAAUAAGCUUUGCAUCUGCUAAAGCCUGCCUCCUGGUCAGCUUGUUCUAGCCAUGGGCCAUACUCAAUUUUGAAUUACAAAAAUAGGUUUUCUUUCAAAUUAUAUGUUACAGUGUGAACAUGUAUUAUUUACCUAAGUUUAACAAAUUAACUGGAGAUCAAACUGUGCAAACCUUGCUAUUCAAUUUCUCAGAAUUCUGCUUUCAUAAAGGAAUAUAGGGAUUUUAUGGGCAUCUUCUAAAACAAAAUUUUUGAUCAUAAAGCAUCUGAAGCAUUAAAUAAAACGUUAUGAACUUGUUAUACAUCUCAAGGUGAGGAGAAUCUUUGAAAUGUAUCCUGAAAUUAGAGACUAUAUUUGCAUAAUUUAUACACUGAGUAUUCAUAAAAAUGACUACAAUUGAAAAUCACCUGUCAUCAAAAGUAAAAGCACAGAAACAAUGGCCAAGACUGAGGCAGGGCAAUAGCGUUAUGGAUGUUAUUUCCUAAAUAUUUUCUAAGGAACGGUUUCUACCAGUUACUGAGGAAAUUAAGGAAAAGUGACAAAGCAACAAUCAUUUCCAAGUAAUAGUUCUUUUUUCUUUUCAUUAUGUGUGCUGUCUGCCCUCAGAUCUCCUGCAUUGUUCAGAUUUCAAAACAUUUCCUGUUGUAAUAGACAAGCAAGAGACAUUCCACAUGGUAAGGAGGAGAGCUCUGCUCCUGCAGCAGUCUUACCUGGGGCAGCUCUGGAGUCUGCUGCUAGAUGCUGGCUCUGAAUAGCCAGGGGAGUCUUCAUUACUUAGGCAUAAUUUUUCUAGGCUCAGAACUUGGCUUGGGUAAACCUGUGAAAACUGGGCUGUAAUUUAAUUGUAACGAGCUGCUUAUUCUAUUUGUUUUCUUUUCUUGCCUCCUGACUUCCUUAGCAGGACAGGAUUACUACCACUUGCCUUUGGAGCCACUUCUGGCUCAUCUGGUUCUUCCUCUCUGCCCUGUUCCUGCCAAAGGUUGUUUCAGGAGCACCUGUUUCAUCUUCUGCAAGGAUCUCAUAAUUGAGCAUGGGUCCUGAGUAGGAUUUACACACUUCCUCUGGAAACACAGGAAGCUUGUGUCAGUUCUGACUCUUUCACAGACACAUGUCAGCUUGUCAGGGACUAUUGUUUAUUAAUAAUUUAACAGAGGAAACCUGACAGGAUUGGUCUCUUGGUGAUACAACAAUAUGAAUAUUUAAUAAUGACAUGAUGAUACAUUUCUAUUAACACAGCUGGCAUUCUGCACUUAAGAAUGAUGGGAUAAUAGUUCUCUUUAUGACUACACAGUGAUUAAUCUAUUUAUGUAAUAGGUGAAUGUUCAAAGCUACAGUAAACAGUACAGAAAAGGCAGUGUAUUAUGACCAAAGUGGCAGAAAUCCCCAGUGAUUUUCCCAUAAAGUACUGGUAUUUGUGGACUGUGAAAGGUCUAUUUUCUCUGAGUUAGAUCUUUGCCUGUGCCAUUUGCGUGUACCCUCUCCUACUGCUUAUUCAUACUUUACUAGCCUGAAGAGAAACGAAAUAGAAGCUCUUUCUUUGCCAUGCAGUUAAUUAGCUGCUGGGGCAUUCUCUUCAAUGAUUCAAGUGCACUCUGUCCAAGAGGUUAGUCUGACCCUGCUCAUCAUCACAUAGCAUCAGUGUUGAUGGUUGCUGCUUUUUACCUAUUGAAAACUCAUCUUUCAGUACUUGGGUGCCAGUAUGGACUGACAUGACUCUAUCCUGUACAGGAUUUCACUUCUCCAGUGAGUACAUCUCUUUUAAAUCAUAGAAUCAUAGAAUCCUUUGAGUUGGAAGGGACCCUUAAAGGUCAUCUAAUCCAACUCCAAAUCUGAAUGGCAAUUCUACUGAGUUUUAAACUGCUCAUUUAUAGUUUUAUGACAAAGAAACAGCAAAGGAGUCAUGCAAGAGUUUAAGCUAAGGAUGGACAAAAAGAUUCAGAAAGCAUAGGGACACUCCAUCAUAACUCCUAAAUAACUCCUAAACUUUUUGUGGAAUGCAAACAUCUCCCUAGGCUGCGUAGAGAAAGGGAAAGAGGAGUCUGAUUGCCAGCAGCUCAGUCUUCCUCCUUCUCUUACUUGCUCUGGCAGGUGACAGGAGGAAGGCUCAGCAGCACAGUUCAUAAGUACCUGCCCCAUUGCAUCUCUUCCAAAGUCCUUAAAAUAUCACCUGGGGAAAGUCCAUUAACCUGAUUCCACAUUAGAAAAGAGAGGAAGAUUAUAAGUUGUUCCACUGGCUGCUGUGGGAGACUUUAUGGAACAGGAUAUAGAUUGCUAAAAUUAAGGAAUCUUAAACUCCCCAAAAUUACUGGGAGGAAGAGAAAAAACAAACUUUGUCGUUCUCUUUCUCUCUUUUCCAUUUAUUAGCAUUUUCUUACGUAUAAAGUUGUGCAGUUGACAUGAACAGGAAACAAUAUAUUUUUACCUUUAAAAUACCUAUUUGAUUUGCCUAUAAAACUCAUUAUUUUCUUGUCUUCCUAAAUGGUAUUGAACACAGGUUUUUGAAACUGGACCUGAUUCAGGUCAUAGUUGAAAAUUUGUUUAAAGUCUUUUUUCUCUCAAUUCUGUGUUUGAAUUUAUGUAAAUGACAAAACCAAGUCAUCAGUUUGUAACUUUAUGAUCAAAAGUACUGCUUUUUCUCUGCUUAUUUUUCUUACUUUUCUGUUCAGAUCUUUGUUCAGUAACUCAUGCCAGUUCUCAGUAUAUUGGAGCAGAAGUACUCCAAUUAAAUAAGGCACUUUUCUACAACCGUGCCUCAAAAAUCUGUGCUGGUGAGUUCAAGUGGGGGUAAACUGGGCAUUGUACAGCAAGGACAGGCAUGCUCUCAGCUGUGCACAGAGACAUGGAACUUGUUCAGUGCGGAAAAGCAGGUAGUUUAGCAUAUACAUAGGUUGAUACACUUAAUACAAGGCCUGCUAUAUACUGCCUCUGAGCUGCUUUGAAAUCUGGGGCUCACAGGCUUAUGCUAGCAAUGCAUCUAAUAUAUGUGCAAACAUAAAAGUAGUCUUUCCCUCCCUUUCUUCUCAACUUAGAGGAAUAUUCUAAUUAGUUAUUGCAGGCAGGAGAAGAAAGGGAAGAAAUUUGGAACAAGGGAAAUAUGUGACUGUUGACUUUGCAGUAGCCCUGUCAAAAAAAUGUAUUCUACUUUUAAUACAUACCAUUUGGAAGCAAAGCCCCUUUUAAAAUGCUUCAGAACUCAUGUCCUUUUUAAUUGCCUGGAAUUCAUGAUGGCUGUGUGAGAAAGCCAUAAACAUAUACAAUCAUAAAAACACAUUUAGACAACCCAAACAGAAUCAGUGCCAUAUUAUUUUAGUUUAUUAUUCCUAGUGGAGUACAGAUUGGUCUUCCUACUUUGAUAUUUAUUUAUACCAAAGAACUACAAGAACAUAAAUGCCACUCUUGGGAUAAUCCUAAUGCUGGGGCUGAACAGAACACACAUUGCAUCUGUCUCAUUUGCAGUAAAGUGAAGGCGUGUUUAGGUGUAGUCCUGAUAAUGAAGGACAAAGUUGAAGGUCAAAUGUAGUCUUCAAAAUGAAUGUGUCAUCAUGAAACUGAGAGAACUGCAUUAAGAAGUUUUCUUAAAAUAUCAAAUAAUGAAGAAAGGGAAAGGAAGAUGUAUCUCUUUGGUUUUAUUAUUCCUUUUUCUUUGAAGCCACUUAAGGAUUCUGCUCAAGACUUUAGUGCUCAUAUGAAAAAUUAAUGAUGGGUUUUUGCUAGACAGAAAGCCUUCUUAUUUUGCACAUGAUUAACAAAGAAAACUCAAUGCACAAGUGAGAUACGCAGCAGGGGGUGGUUCUCUCGAAGGCCAGCUCACAGCUUCACACCAGAACAUUUAUUGACAUGGGAAAAUACCCACUUUUAUCCAAAGACAGUUAAACAGAUAGGAUAUGUGCAGGGCUGUACAUAAGAAUAACAAGGAACAGAUACUCAACAAAGGAAAAUGUCAACCAAAAUAAACAAACAGCCUAGCAGCAGGCUGACCCUGCACCAUGCCUGUGGGCUGUUUGGAGUCUACUGCAGAGCCAAGUGCAAUGUUAGUGUUUGCUAGUUAUUGUCAGGAAGUAGGUUAUCAGCUGAAAGGCUGGAGGGUGGCUUCAGACACUCUUCCCAUAGCAGAAGAAAAGCCAAGGCCAUGUAGGCAGAAUGUAUAAGCCAGAUCUCCACCCUAUUCACGUGCUCCUUUGGUUUGAUGUUCCUCACCUACAAAGAUGUCCUUUGAGAGGAGCUAGGGUACUUUUCUCACAGGUCUUUUCCCAUAUGUAAUAUCACAGCAUAAGGCCGUGUGAGCUUGUCCAACUCUAAGCAGCCUGGUUCCUGUGUAUUCCUUUCAAAUUUUAAACCUUCUUGUUUUUGUCUAGUCAGCUAACUUGGAGUAUCUUCUGGGGAUUCAGAAGGGCCAUCAGCUACCAGCACUCACAGGAAGAAAACCAGCCAAACAAGAUAUAAUUUUUACAAGUUUUAAUGGAAGUGCAGUGAGCUUUAUUCCUUUUAUUCAUUAGUUGUGUAUAUUUAUGAUCUGUUCCCUAGUAAAGGAGGACUUUAUAAAUAUUUGUUAAAUACAUUGAUGCACUACAAAGAGUUGAUUGGGGUUACAAAACUCAGGUCAGACUUAGAGUUUCAGAUGUCAAACAGGAAUAAAACAGAUCACCCUGGGUGAACUGGUCCAGAAAGCUUUUUUUUUCCUUUUCUUGUUAUGCAGACCAAUGGAAAAUGAUCCCCUAAAAUACUGCCAUCAUGACCUACAAGCUAUGUUUAUCUGCAGGCUCAAAAAGAAAUUGUUAGCUUUGAAAGUACUAUGUAUAAUUAUAUAUGAAAGGUGCCAAAUUAGUGUCAAAUGAACAAAAGUGACGUUCCAGAAAGCUGAUUUCAUUAAAGCUUCAUUCCUUGUAGCAAUAAGGAAAGUUUCCCAUGCUAUUUGUAGUGCCUCUUGCUUCUGAGGAAAGGAGAUGUGGUGAAUGUUAAAGCUGCUAAGAACUUCAGAAGGAGGCAAGGUAGUGUUUAUUUUGAAUAAUAAGUUGUUAUCUCAGAAUGAUAGAGAAUGAGUUAUAUUAGAUUUAAAAAGGCAUUAAGCUUCAAAUAGAGCACCUGAUAGCAGCACUUAUGAGCUUUUCCAAAAGGCUGCAUGUUUUGUCUAAUUUAGUUAUAAUUUGUUUGUGUGAGCAGUGGAAUUAUCAACAGUGGUGGCACUGAAGUGCAGUGAGUGGUGUACAGCUACAGACCCAGAGUGGCUGAAUGACUGAAGUGACCAACUGCCAUUUUCACAACAGUUAUGUGGCUUUCUUUCUUGUGGAUUUUUAGAUCAGAUCCCUGCAGGAACAGAAUGAGUGGAGUUUUUAUUUUGUUAUUAUGAAUGUUUUGAUAUUGCAGUAAUGAUUUUUUGAUAUGUGAUAAUAAAACCUUGAGAUUAUAGUAGUGGAAGCCUUGGAGUAGCUUUCAUAAUCUAUCGAUUUUGUGUUUCAUAGUGGUGAUUUUUUUUUCUUUGUCACCAUCAGUUGUUUGGUUUCUUUAUUUUUGUGGAUAUUCUCUCAGUGUUUUUGUCUAGCAGCAAGUGCUGCUACUUACAAAGGAUAUACAGAUGUUUACAUUACCCUAUCAAUUGCUACUAAACAAAUGCAGAGCAGCACAGCCCGAGUUUCAUACUACAUCAUCAUAUUGAGUGGGAGCUUUGCUUCAGAAAAAAGAAAGAAAAAAAAAGGCUCAGACCCUAUCUGAGAGCAGGUGGGGUGUUUUUGAUUGGUGAGAUUAUAUUACAGUCUGUAACUCAAGAUUUAGGCAAACAGUAUGUUUAAAGAAUUAAUAUAAUUCGUACUGCUCAAUUGUAAAAUCUCAACAACAGAAAUUGUGUUGCUGAACAUCCUGAAGAUGACAUAAUUGUAACUACAGCUGCAAAGUGCAGAACCAGAGGCUUGCCUACAAGAGCUGUGCCCUGUGCUCCUUGGAGCCUCUUGCUGAUGGAUGCCACCAGGCAUCCCUAAUGCACCCUCACCAGCUAAGAUGCAGUUGCUGCACUGGCUUGUCCAAACAGCCUUGUGCUGAUGAGCAGCAAUAGUGGAGUGUUGGUUUGUCCUUUGGCUGCUGCUGAAUGCUCAGUAACAGUGGGGAUUUGUGUCUCCUUCCUCUCUGUCACUGAAGGGAGCAAUGCAAAUAACUUGUGAGAGAAAAGCAAUAUUAUGUUUAUUGUUGCAAGAUACCUGUUUAACAGAAUAGUAAUCAUAAAUAUGACACUGACAAGAUGGCAGGGUUCACACGAAACCAACUGUAUCUGGGGGUUAAGUUAGUUGCACACCUAAGGAUUUCCCCCUAUUAGAUUGCAGUACUCAUUGCAGUUAUGUUGGCUGUCAGCAGAUGAUUCUGAAACUUCAAGGAAUCUUCCCUGAGAAGGCUCAGGGGGAGCUCCCAAGCCACAGCCUGCUGUGGUCCCAGAGAGCUCCAAGAGGUCUUGCUUAGAGUCACUAUUUAUAGGAUCAUGAGAUGAUUGACUUUUAGAGAGUAGUUUUUCAUUAUUUUGGUCCUUUUUGAUUUUUGGCUAUGACAUAGCCAAAUGUCUUAGCACGUAAUUGCGCCUUCAUCAAUUAGCCACGUCACCAGAGCUCUGGAUAUGGUUGGGCGAGGUCUGAUCAUCCCAUGCCCGUAGCCUAUAGCUAGCUGGGGGAUGAUGCAGGAUCAGGCUCCAUCAUACUCUGUAGGUAACAGGAAUGAUGCUGUGAUAGCUUGUAGACUUGCUAUAUAGAGAAAAAAGUAAUAGUCUUUUGUGAGAGCUGCUCCACCACACUCAACUCAUGAAUUCUUGCAGGUAUGCAUUUAUUUUUUGAGACAUGCAAUGCUUUUGUAUUUUGGCUGAAAUUUUCUCACACGAUAAAAUGUUUCUUUGAGGCAGUAUGAGAGAAAAACAAGGACAGACAGACAGACAGCAGUGACGUGACCCUCAUUUCCUUAGGAAACCAAGCUAAAAAAAAAACCUAACCCCAGACUCUUUGCUGAGGGCUCCUGCUGUCAUAUACUGUACUGGUUAAACCAACCAGGAGAGGAGGCUGGCAUCAGGAUCCCUCCCCCAGAUCAGGCCUAGAACAGAGAGCAGAGAUUUCGAUUUCUGUUAUGUGCAGCAGCAGGGAGGUACAGGUGUGGAGCGAGCACGGAAGACGAAAGCCAUGCUUCCUCCCAGGGCCAUGCUCACCUACAUGCUGUAGUCCCUGAGAGGCAAUUUGUAAACAUUUAGGUGGGUGUUCAGUAUCUGCAUGACGUGACUCUAAAGCUGUAUUGAAGCUCUCCAGUCAAUUCACCAGUGACCUUGAGAGAUCCUACUGUGUGUGCUGGUGAUCGUGUAGUUGAUGUAUUUCCAUACGAGGCACUAAACCCUUCCGUAUUGGAAAAGUCAUUUGGUCUGUUAGAACUUGCAUGAAAAAAUACAAAUAUUUCAUAAGGACAACCUGGCAGAUUAUUCUCAGGCUAUUGAUUCCACAUUUUGUUCUGCUGAAAACCUGCUGCUAAACAGACCUCCCUACUGGAGAGACUGAGCAAAAUGGCCAUUAGAUGGAGAGGCUCUAGGGAUUUAUUGAUUAGACAUGAGAACACUAAUCAUGCAAUAGCAAAGAUCGAGCAUGCUGUUGUGAAGACUAUUUGCAUAAAAAGCUAACAUUUGAGUAUUGGGAAGCUAGAUGCUGUCAGAACAUUAACAUUAGCUGUCCCAGAUCUGGUCAUAUCCCUUGCUACAUCCAGCAGGGCAGCCAGUUCCUCAGGCUUCUCAUUUUUCAGCAUCUAAACAAACAAUAAGUUAGCAAAUAUAUUUGCUGUGCUAGGUAGAUAUUGAAAAUGAAAAUCCUAUCUCCAGCAAACCUACAGGAUAUUGUUUUGCCUCUCAAGUAUACUUGAAAAUAGCAUCAAUUUUGGAUUUUUGAAAUGGCUAACGAUUUCGUAUGACUCUCAUAAUCCAGAACUCAGUUUAAUUAAUUUCAAUCGGUUCUUGUAAUCAAAUUCUUGUAAACUUUCCUUCCUCCUGACAAAAUGCUGAUGUCAUCUUCAAGUAUUCCAAACGCAAAAAUGAGGAGGCCCUUAGAAUGAAGUGCAAAACUUUUCUAUGGUUUAUUCUUUCCCACUUCAGCCCUCUGAUUUUUUUUGAUGCAGUUCAUCAAGGAUACAGACUAAAAAUGAGGAUAGAAUCUUUCUACACUGUUUAUAGAUAAAUGCCAAAUUUUACACACAUUUAUAUGUGCCAUUUAUAACUCCAAGCUUUAUGACUUAAAAAAACAAACCAUGAAAUUUUAACACUCAUCAUCAAACCAGGCAACACUUGUAAGCUGUGUUUGCCACAAAACUUACCUGUAUGAGAUACUCUGAAGUUUCCACAUAGAUGAUUUCUGUCUUCUGUCAAUGUCAGCUAGUAGGGUUAGUCAUGAAAAACACCCACAAGUGUAUUCAUUGAGGACUUCACUUGAAGAACAGUGUAGAUAACCAGAAAAUAAAAUGUGCUACCAGAAAGGGUGUAGGUCAUCGGGGGGCCCUAACCACGGGCUCUGAGCAGAGCUCUGAAGAGUGUGCAGGUGUUUGUCAGACAGGGAAAAGUCAGUCAGAGAAACAAAUGGAGGAAGGUUGUGUAUUUCAUAUCAUGUGGUCGGCCUUUGAGAGAGGUGCAACCUUUGUGUGCAAUUGUUAAGCACCACUGGUGAAAAUGCAUAGCUAAUGGUGGUGACUAUGUUGAAAAAUGGUCUUUUGUAGCUGAGUCCUACCAAAAAGGGCUAUUGUGCUCUCUGUGUCUGUUGUAAUUUCCAUGGAAAUAAACGGGAGGCAUUACUUUCGAAGCAACCUCCUCAGAUGCCCUUGUGUAGCCACCUUGCAACCUUAACCUAAAUAUCCACUACCUUUUCUAGAAGCAUCUAGAAGUAGAUGCUGAGACAAAGAACUUAGUAUUGUUUGUGCUAGAGGCUGGAGUCAAGGAAAAAUCUGGUCUGUAUUUCUGUACACAUUUGGAUGCAAAUGACACCGGCCCAGAAUUGCUGGAGCUUCCUGUGCUGCUAUGCUCUGAGGCAUGUUGGAAACAACCAGUUCUGAAUGAAUGUAUGAAGACACUGCAGUGCCCAUGAUGUAGCUCCUCAAGUGCAAUAUGGCUUUGUUUAUAAAGGUAGAAAUCAAGAUAACCCAGACUGAGCUCUUUAUUAGAUUAGACUCCACAUGACUGUGGUACUUUGUACCUGGAGACUACAAGUCUCAAUUCCUUGCAGAUGGAAUUCAGCAAGGUAUCUUAAGGGCUGGUACCUCCACAAGGUACUUUACCAGGUAGGGUUCUGAAACUCAUCACUCCUUAAACGCCUGCUUGGCCUGCUGAGGGACUGGAGGAUUCAUUCCACAUCUGAUAAGAGGAAUCAAAUUGUCUGUUCAGUGGGAUAAUCUUUCUGUUGUCAGGAUGAAAAAUCUCAGAGGACUCAUGCUCAAUGGUCUUGUAAUUAAAUGUUACACACUUGAUGAGCAUUGCAUUGCAAGCCUCAAGGCUAAUUUACAUGUUACCACCAAAAUGUCUUAUUUCAGUUUGCUUGUAAAAAUACUGUACAGGCAUCGUUGCAUGUCAUUGCAAAUGGUUUGUUUCAGUGAUGCUUGGGUAAGCCUCAACAUUACUAAAAGCUGUACAUAAUUACUGCUAAAGAGCUCUGUACAGAACCAAUAAUACUUCCCCCACAAUAGCUGUUUUAUUACUGAGAUGGCUUUCCUGAUGUGACCGACAAUGCUAGGAUCAGAAACAAGCAGCCUGCCAGCUAAUAAAGAAUAGCAUUUUGGGGAAACAAAGUAGUUUGAAUCAAUUAUGGUAUUAUGUACAUAAUUAGAGUCUGUGUCACUUUUCCAACAGUUGCCCAUAAUUCACAACAGUAAGGCAGGGUAGGAGGAAGGGGAGAAUAAUGACAGUAGAUAGAAGAAAGUUGUAUGAGUAGCCAUGGGUCUGAUGAUGUUAUAACGUAUUUACUAGCACAUUUACAUGCUUUAUGUUGUAGAAGUUACUCUUAGCGAUUUGGGGCCACGACUCAUGUCAGUGUAUUCGUGAUGGAUGAGUGAUGAGAGAAAAAGCUUCUCGAGCCUCCAGGAUCCAUUUAGCACACGUAGCUUUCUCAGUUCCUUGUUUUGAGAAGGUCAUCCCACAAGUAACAUUUCAACAGAGGCAUAUCAGAUGGACCGAACUGAGGUUUCUUGCCAUUCACAGUUUCUUUAAUACUUAUUUGACUGACUUCAAAGCGAUACUAAAGCACUGCAACCAUUUAUUGGAAUAUAUUAAUAAUAAUAAAUCAGAAUUUCAUUCACUGAAUUCAAGCUUUUAAGAAAAAAAUAACCUUGUGUAGAAGCAGAAAAAAGGCAGAGAGAUAUUAGAUGACUUACCCAGUUUGCAGCAAUGCGAGUGGGAGAAUAAGAGACAGACACUCUGGCCCCUGUCCUUUCUUCCAAAUCAUGUUUCUUGUGUUUGUGCCACAGUGAAAUGAUUUUGCAUAUGUCCUGUCUUGGAAAUAUGAAAAAUAUAUGCAAUAUGCAAAGCAGCCGAUGGGUCUGCAUUUCAGAAUCUAUCAUCAUUUAGGAAGUCUUGAAGCCUAAAGAGAUUGCAUGCAACUAAUUGCACACAGUCCAAGAGACUAGAGCACAUUACUGCCAAUUUGUAAACAAAACCCAGCAUGCAAAAGUGCUUAGGCCAGUGGGGUGAGUUUCCAUCGAUAAAGGACAGGCAGUGUACAAAUGCAACGCAACACAAUUCUUACACUUCAGCCUUUAAGAAUUGUGCUGACCCUCCAACAAAAUGGAGUAAUGCAGAGUCACUGAAUGCAGCUAGGCUUCGCCACUGGUAAAUAUUUUACAUAAUCCAAACGAAGAAAUCCAUGAAAACGCUGAAAGAAUAAUUAAAAGUCAUCCAGUGCAAAAAGUCCUUUAAGAUUUAAAUCCUGGCAAACACAUAAAAAUGGAUUAUGUUGGUAAACUGUGAAUCAUUCCAAACGUGGGACUGCAAAGCAAAACUCCCAUUAUUUCUUGAUCCUGACCAUCAAAUGAUCUUUGUUAUGAAUAUGCUCAUCCUGGUGGCUGGCCAAUACCUGACUUGACUCCUUAUCCAAUGCUGUCUAGCUCCCUUUGUAUCACUGCUGCUUCCAUCCCAUAUCUUACUGUUCCCCUCUGUUAUGUUCAAUAAACAUAAUAUGCUUGGUGCCACUGCUGAUCUGCUGAGCCAGUCAGUGUCCAGCUCAGUGACUCAGACUUGAUCUCAGCUUCAAAAGAAAAAUGACGAUGUCUGUCUUUCUAGAUUUGAACCCCUCCAGUGAGUAGUAUCACAGAUGUGAUAUGGAUGCUCAGUAAUUACUGAAACAGCAGUUUGUCACAAGCUGCUGGGGGCACUGAUGGACUAGUGCUCUGUGGCUAUAGUUAUGGGAAGGAAGAUGUAAGAAAAUAUGGUAAUUGUGACAGGCUCAGCUUAGUGUUGUUUGGGUUUUCUUUUCAGGGAUAAAACGUUCAUGUGGAAGCCACGCAUACAGAGAGCUAGGUACCUAUUUUAAUCUGUCGUUCUUUCCACCUCUAUGAUAUUUAAUAUACAUGCAAAAAUUAUUCUAAUGUAAAUGAGAAUCUGGGCCAGGCAGUGGCCACAUCUACGCUAAGCGCAAUUUGUAUCUCUGAAGUUCACAUACAUCAGCAGUUUCCUAAACAAGUAGAUUUGGCUCUUGGGGAAGAACAGAACAGCCUGCAUAUCCCAGCCACCCUCCACACCGGUGCCACUAGGGGGUCCUUAUGAUGCUGAAUAAAUAACAAAUCCCUUCUCCACAGCCGUGAGCUUUGUAGCCGAUCCAGAGCUUACUGCAGCAUGCAGGCACUUCCCUGUGCCCUGUGAACAUGAAAAAAACCACAGAAAUCUAAAACUUCACUCUUUGUGUAAACCAGCUCUGCUUUUUAUUCUUUCUCUCCUCUUAUCUUGUAGUGCAAAUGCAGCUUCAGAAAUGAACAAGAACAUCAAAAUCCACAGAUUGUUAAGUAAAUUCAAGACUGAGAGAGGAUGAAAGGAAAAUAAAAAUGGACCUGGAGCCUGAUAGGCUUUGGAUGAAGCUUUACAAGAGUUGCAAAGGAUGCUGCUGCAAUGGGGACCCAUCUGGGGUCGACAGGCUCGACUUGCUGCACAGCCGAAAAAGCAGUAUUUAGAGGUGGCAAUGCUCUGCGUGGCUCAAGCAUUAUUAAUAGCACUUUGUUUCAUAGCUUCAUAGUAUUUAAACCAUACUGUUCCCAUUACUGAAGACAUUUUGUUUUCUGAGAUCUAUCUGUCUCCCCCAAAGUAAAACAUUAUAUUUCCAUCCAGCAUUUUUUUUCUAAGUUUCACUUGACUAGUAAUAGGUUUCCUUGAAAAGCCAUCAGUGAAUUUAUGGCACAAAGAGCUACGUCUCUCCAGCCUUUAUUAAUUCAGACAUACAAAAUCUAAGCAUCUACAUGUUGCGGUUGUUGUUUGUUGCGCUGCUGCAAACUGAUAGCAUUUCACCAAAAAAGCUCUCGUGUCUGCAGCUAUCCUAUUUUCUCUCGUGUCACUCAAGCGAACCGCCUUGCAGCUCACCCGCACCGAGGUCGGAGCAGAGCCGCAGGAGCCUGCAGAACCCACAGGGGGCUGUCGUGCCAGGCACCCGCUCAGCCCCCGGGACCUGUGGGUGAGGAUGCGAGCAGAGCUUCCCAGCACUGCUGGGAGCCAAACGGGCUUUUGCCUGAGUGAGUUCUGGGGGAUGGGGCAUUCGUUCAGAGGCACAAACUCCUUCAAUACUGGAUGUGCUCAGAAGAUGGAAAUUAGCAAUAUUACAAAUUCAGAAAGCAGCAGACGAGCUUGUAACGUAGCGAAUAGGAGCUCACCCCUCUUUUUGAGCAGCUGCUCCCAACGCAACAAGCCCUCUGACCAGUGCCACUGUAGCCUUUGACCUUAUUCAUUAGAGAUAUUCUGAUGUACUGUGAGCAGUAUGGAACAAUGUUCAUAUGUUCGUUUAUGGGUUAACCCUAUCCUUAUUAGAUUUGUACUUUCCAACCUGAAGUUAUAAAAGUUUGGCCGGCACGCAGGGUUUUGCCCUCCCUUUCUGCUCUCUCAGCCACUGAAGUAAUCUCAAGCUAUCCUUUUCAACUGAACUUUUUUAAGUGUUGCUUUUAUCUCUAGUUGCCAGUGUCUUUAAGAACUUAACCCCUAUAUCUCUUACAGCCAGCUCUAGCUUCUGGAAAGCAAGAAGACUUCUACUUCCUGCACCUGUUGCCAGAUUCACUGUGGUUUCCCAGCACUGAAGAACCAGUGUGUACUGAGCAAUACUGAUGCUAUACUGGGUUACCAAGGGGUAUGAAGAUGUGAUUAGUCAAUGUCACAAAGAUUUUGGAGAGCAAAACAGAGGAGGAGGAAAGAGUAAUACUUCCUUUAGCCUUCAUCUUCUGCCUUCCCGUGACAUCUGUCCUGCACGAUUUGCGGGCAGUCACAGUGUGCACUUCCUUCUCCUGCAGAGGCUCUGCUUCUUUUGGAAAAGGCUUCCACAAGGAUACCAGCAGCAUUAAAAUCUCACUUGGUCCACUUGUAUUUUUUUACCAGCCCUGUUUGAUUGCCCUAGAAAAACAGGGAAGAAUAUUUUCCUUGCUCUCAAGAGUAAAGUCCUCCAUUAUCAUGUCAUGAAGGGAAACGGACUGUUUGGUAGCUAAGGAAAAAUGCUGACUUCAAACCUGAGAUAAGGUUCUAUCAUUUACACUAAUGAGCUCACUGGUGGCAAAUCUGUAAGAUUUUAUGAUAAAAAGUAGCUGUAAGUCAGUAUUUGAUGGAAUUUUCUAUUUCUUCUUCUUCUUCUUUUUUUUUUUUUUUUUGCUGAAAAUACAUCUAACUACUAAUAAUUUUCCCAUCCAAAUCCGGGGAGGAAUAAAUGCAGUGAGAAUCAUCCCAGACUGAGUUCAAAGAUUUGGUAAGUAACCCAUUAUUUUAGAGAGUUAUUCUCUAACCUAUUAUUGAUUUAUUAACCUAUUUAUUGAUCUAAAUUCUGCUGGGAAGGCUGUGAACACAUUUGACUAGUUGACUAAUGAUUGAGUUACUCAGAAGGAGGGGAUCUUAAUGAAAUAUUAAUAUUAGGAUUUUAAUUGCUGAUGACUUAUGGUUAACAGUUGAGCCUCCAGAUCUGAUAGUCACAUCAUGCCAGAUUUUGAUUUCUGAUGGAAACAUACUCUGAGGCCGUAUAUCCAAUAAGUGCUAUGAAAAAGGUAUCUAAUACCCUUUGCUGGUAUAUUCUGCCUGAGCACUGACAAACACUAAUGAAAUCUAGUUACUGUAGGUUACAAAGACCGAGACUGUUCUGUUCAGAACCAGAAUGGGCAAAUCCAGCUGGGGAGACCAACCCUGCUAUGAAACUGGUGUAAGUGGAUGCAAGCAAUAGGGUGACAGUAAGCAGAGGAAAAAGAGAUGUCUUCAGUUGAAGGGCUGGAAAACUCUCACAGUUUGGCUUCCAUUGUGAGACAUGAAUGAAAUUCUGGCGAUUUUUCUCUCUCCCCUCUGAUUUUUUUCCAGCCUACCUCCCGAGUGUGAGAUGUUUAGACUUCAUAGCAUCCCUGGUUCAAUGCCUGGAAAAGCUGGCCAGAGCUGCAGUACAGUGCAGGGACUUCCUUGCAUGGCCACUUUCCCCUUGUGCAGGCAAGAAAUAAGUCCUUACAAAAUAUUCCAUGUGCUGGUUGUGCCUCUGCAACCUUGUUUAUGGAUAGCUCUGCUUUUGCAGUGAUCUCUUCUCCUGAGAGUCAUGGGUUUAACUCAUCACUUUGAUAGCAAUUUGGGAAUGGGUGUUGGGUUGUAUUAGAGGUACUAGUCUCAUAGUAGAAAUAGCAAAAAAAGUAAACAAUGAGCAUGAAGACUAGGAUAUGGGUUUACUGCUGUUGACGACAAAAGGACAGAUGAAUUGGAGAAUGUAGGGGAUAGCAGAAAAAGAUAACAGAAAAAUGUUUGGAAAUAAGAGGGAUGGAUGUUCUAUAGGCUUACUGACAUUUUUUUUUACUCUAUGAGUCCUGUAAGAUGCUGGCAAUAUAGGAAAGCAAGACAAGCUGACAAAAAGAUUGGUCUGAGAGACUGAGAAAUGGCUGUGAAGCUGGUUUGGUAUGCAGGUGAUCACAACUACUAUCAUCUUUCAAGAAAAACAUGUUUUUCACAAAAAGAUUGUCAAACCUGCAGCUCUUGUUGUGCAUCUCUGUCUUCAUACGGCUCUUAUCACUGCAAGAUUUGAAUUUCCUAGUGCAUAAAAGAUUGUAUCUAACGUCUUCUUCCAGUCUAGCUUCCCUCCAUGCUAUGCCCAUCACUUUGUACCGAGUACAGAUGAAAUGCUGAAGUGUUGCAACUUUUCUGUGAGAGGAGCAGCCGCUAGAGGGGAGGAUGUACACUGUGAAGUCCCCAUCAGUACCCUGUCACUGAGGCUUCCUCAGUAAGUAACAAAUAAGUAAAUAAAUCAGAAUUUUAGUAAUCAUUUGUAGGCUGUCCUGGUAUAUCCUUUCAGGUAAAAUAUAUUGAAUGAGGUUAUUUUUAGUAUUGCAGUUUCAACGUUUACCUUGAAACACAGCCAAAACUAACGGCCAGGAAAAAAAAUCAUUGGCUAAAUUACACAGAGAAGAUUGGAUUACCUGUUCAAACACAGCUCUUAAUUCUGGAUUUAAAUAGAAUCUCCAAAUACAACAGAACUGUUGCAGAAAAUAAAGCUAGCCAACAGCCCCUAAUAACCCCUAAUUAUUAGUAGUUUCAGUUAAAAUUUGGACAGUGUUGGUCUUAAUUCUUUUAAAUCAGAAGAGGCAGCGUGACCAUGGUAUCCCAUUUACAAUUACAGUGAGCACACACGCUGUUCCAACACAUGCUGGCUUUAGCUGAGUGUUCUCUGGCAAGUUGGGUUGGGGUUUUGCCCUGUUAAAAUACAAUUACCUAUUUGACUAGCAAAUAAUUUCAAUUUGAGUUACUUCUUUGUAACAAUGCACUUUUCUGACAGAAGUGUCUGACAAGAAAAACAGGUCAAGCUCCUGACAUUGGCAUUUUUGCUUGCUUAGGAAUUUUUUGCACCUGAAAGAAAACCUGCUGGUAUCCUAUCUGGGUGACUUUCAUGGCAUCAGUAAAUACCAAAGAGACCUGCCCCUAAAGAAGAUGCUCUCUCAAGGUAAGACUGAAAUCCAAAUUACUUUAAAAUAGGAAAGAAAGAAAAGCUUGGCAAUGCUAUGGAUACAUGGACAAUUACAGCUAUAUAAACCAGAUUGUUUAAUGAUUGUCUCAAGGAUAGUUUUUUCAAGUAUCUUUUACACUGAGCUAAUAUUUUUCUCACUUUUAACUUUAUCCAAUGUAAUGUGUAAAUGGGAGAUUAGAAGUCGAAGACUGUAUUGCAGGCACCCAAUGAAAAGCAGCAGAUGACACUGCCCACAUUGUCUUAAUAAAUUUGUUCUUCAGAAGGUGCAGAACCCAAUAGCCAUGCAGUCCAGUGAUCCUUCGAGGUCAACAGUUUUAUAUUCAUUUACUGCUGCAGUCCCCACUUUGGUAAAGAUCAUCUAUCAGUUUCCCUGUUAUCCUCCUGCUUACAGCUACCUGUUAAGAUCAAAAAUGCUCAUUUCUGAGAUUGAGAUUUGCCACAAUUGCAACUGGAAAACACGAUUUUUUAUUUAAACAUUUUAUCACAAUCUUUGUGGACGUUUUAAAAUACAUCAAAAUACUGGGAAAACACUAAGGUUAUUUUGUUUGAUAGUCUCUGGGCAGAAGUAAGACCUGAAAGCAGAAAGUCAGAACUAUUUUUCAAUAGGAAGCAGGGCAUGAUUAAACUCGGGAACCAACCUGGUUUAAUUGGACCAAAUACAAUUACAGAAUGUUUGGAUAUGAAUAUAUGCAACUGUCUGUCUGGCAGUUAUUCUUGGGUGCACACCUCGGAAAGCUUAUGCACUCUUCAGCUGUUCAUGUUACUGGCUGGGUUUUACCCUCUGUGCCUGCUUUCUCCUACAAGAAGUAACCACAGGAGAAUUCCCUUGGCCCAGUGCUGUUCCCCACUGGCAUCUGAAGCAGCCUGCCUGUGCCAUUCUGUCUUUGCUCUGCUGUGCAAAACCUGUGCUGGCAGGCGCACGGUGCAGCAAGUCUGCAGCCAUUCUUAUUCCAUAGGGAGUGGGCUGACAGAUCGCUGCUGCUGGUUGGGACCCCAACAGCUUAUUUGUUCCUGCUGUGCGCUCUCACUGGACUCGACCUACUCUCUGAGAUACCUUAAUUGCUUGCUGUGGAAGCUGAAGGUGACACUGUAAGCAAAUCACCAUAAACACAUGCAAAUCUCUCUUACAACUGCAAAUCAAACAGUUGAAGUAGUGCACAGUAUAGGUCAGCAAGAGCUCUUUUGCUGUAAAUCUCAUUUUCACACAUCUUCAGACUUUGUACAAGAUCCCAGCAGAUGCUAGGGAAGAGGGGUAUCUGAGGUUUAUAAGGGCAAAUAUGAAUCCCUGAAUUGCCUUUCUGUGGUUCAACUAAUAUGGCAGAGAACAAACUGCAUUUUCAGAACUGUGAACAAACCACAUUUCAUAUAAGUUAUCUGCUUACAGGCCAGACCUUGUAUUUAUAACUUAAGAAGGAUUAAAUCAAAAGGCAAGCAGUCCGUGAAAGGGUGGUUUUAUACACAGCCAGCUAAACUCUUGAUAAAUCGUUCUCUUGAAGGAAAAAAUAAAGGCUUCCAAUAGAUUCUUCUGUACUUGUUUUCAGAGAAGCUUAUGGUGUCUCUCCUUAGAGGCUUUCUUUAUGAGGAAAGCUAGUUAAAUGCCUAGUGAGACUGAGUUUCCAAGGGUGAUCUCCCUAGAACAGGAUUAGGGUUCACUGACAACGUAAUGCAGGGCAGGUAAUGCUGCUGUUGCUCAUGGCUUAAACUGCUUUAUGGCUAAAUCAUAUUUCAGUUUCUAGAGGUAUCAGUUCAGUACCUCUGAGCUUUCAACUUGCUUCUGUAAGGUAAAAAAACAAACAGGUUUUUUGGUCUUCCCGUAUUUUUUUCUGGACUAAAACAAGCAGCUCUCUCACUGCCUGAGCAGGACAGUAACCAGUCCUGAAAUGGAUCAUCAGAAAUUUAUGAGGAUCACUCAAUUAUUUUUUUUCCUCCAGAUUAUUUCCAAGUUGGUGCUUUUCUUCAAGCACAGGUGAAGCAUUAGGGGAGUUUUACAGACUGACAGUCCAUUCUGAAUCUGUAAACCAGAGCAGCCAAGCAGCCACAAAGGCAGCUCAGGGCUAGUUAGCACGAGGUGAAUGGUUCACACGUUUUCUCCACAUCCACAGAAAUGUUUUUGAAAACAAAGCCAAAAAAACCCACCAUAGUUUCAGUCUAAUACCAAUAACAAAUACUAUAGUUUGUUAAUACAUUGAUACUCUUGCCAUUGUAUCUGAACAAUUGCCCUAUUCUAUGUCAGCGACAUUGAUUAACAAAACAGUUUGUAAUUAGAUGGAGUCGUGCAAUUCAUGGCCCUCUGUAAACAUCUGGAUUUGCAAAUCUGCACUCCUAGCUUGGGAGCUCUGUCACACAUCACUAAUUAAGCCACAUUCUUAUAUACCAGUACAUACAUCCUCCUGCUGAGCAUCCUUUCUUUGUUCCCAGUACAAAUAACAGCCUGUUGUCAAUACAGAGAAAACCAUCAUAACUGCCUAGCUCAGCGUGUGACAUUUAAUGAAAAUGAAAUAACAUCUCAUUUGCAUGACUGGCAUUACUUUAUUAAAGCCAGAGCUGCAGAAGCUGGGUGCUACAGUGCAAGUCAAGUGUGCAAGGCUGACAGUCCGUAAGUGCAUAGGAACGAUGGUGUCCAGCACAGGGAGGUUGGCACUCCCCCCUGCCUGUCUGCCCACCUCCUGUUUGUAGGGUAGGGCUUCUAGGAAAUCGACAGAUCUAUUCCUUUUCCCAGCCCCCCCCCCCUCCCAGUCCUUGUUCUCCCUGUUACCUCCAUCCCACGGAGCUGGGAACCAGAGCCCCCCUUGCUUCUCCCAGAGGAGUUCCCCAGAAUCAUCAUGGGCUGGGAUCAUCAGCUCCAGCUGAGGAGGAACCCAUCAGAAGUGCUACAGGAAGCAGCGCAGUAGCACAGGAGCUGUGUCUGUUGUGCAGGGGAAGUGCCUUAAAAGAGGAAUAUUUUUUCAGUGUCAGAAGAACGCAGCUGAGCACUCAGAACUUUGAACAGACAAAGUUGUGCUCCUUCAGUCUGCAUUUCCCUCUGCCAUUUCACCAGCAUUGAUAAGGAAGCAAAAUCCUUAUUGUGGCCGAUUCUGAUCUGCUUUAACCCCUUAGACAUAUUUAGAAAUAACGAGUUUAUGUGAAGAAACUUUCUGAUUCUGACCUUGGCGCCCAGUUCGGCAGCGAUACAGCAGAGAGCAGAAGCUGCCAGCGGGACGGCUCCUGGCAGCAUGUGGGCGGCUCCUCCCCCUCCUUUUCUUUUCACACUUCUCAGUAGAGUUUUUCUUUCUGCUAUCUCCGAUGCCGCUCCGCCCGUCUUCCUUCCCCCGUCUCCUUGCCGCAGUCGCGCUGCCCCCGGCCGCCUCGGUGCUGCUGCCCGUCCCGCAGCGAUACCCGACUCCCGCACGGUCCGAGGCCAUCGGCUACGCGCAACCCGACCCCCGUGCCGCCCCAGCUUUGAACGAUAUUUAACUUCCAGAGAGGAUGCUACCAACUCCAGUUGAUUUUAAUUUCUGCAUACAAGUUUACUUAUGCACGCAUCUGUCACUUAGAAAACUUUUGUCGCAGCGCUCAUAGUUCACAGUGAAUCCCUUCUGCUCCGGUCCGGAUUUGGCGGCACCUCCGGCACGGACGCGGCGCGGGGUCCGUCGGGCCGGGAGCGCCUCUCCGCAACCAGAAGGGCGGCGGGGCCGGACCGGCGCCAGGAGCUCCCUGGCAGCGGGGCGCCGUGCUGCUCCAAGAGGGCUCUGUGAGCGAGGAAAGUUUCUUGCUUACGGCCGGGACCGCGCCUCUCGCUCGAGCCCCUCCGCUCCUGCGGAACGAGACGGCGCGGUCAGGACGUCGGCCCGUAACGCGGGCGGGGCCGGCUGCAGGGAUCGCCGCGCGCCCCGACGGUGCUGCUCGGAGGC